CCUACGGGGGGCAGCAGUAAGGAAUAUUGGUCAAUGGACGAAAGUCUGAACCAGCCAUCCCGCGUGCAGGAUGAAAGCCCUAUGGGUUGUAAACUGCUUUUAGCAGAGAAGAAAAGCUUUCAUUAAUGAGAGUCUGACGGUAUCUGCAGAAUAAGCACCGGCUAACUCCGUGCCAGCAGCCGCGGUAAUACGGAGGGUGCGGGCGUUAUCCGGAAUUACGGGUUUUAAGGGGGAGGAUCAAGGCGGUGUUGAAAUCUUGGCGCUUAACGAUAAAAUUGCCAAUGAUACUGGUACUCUGGAGUUGGGUUGAGGUUAGCGGAAUGUGACAUGUAGCGGUGAAAUGCAUAGAUAUGUCAUGGAACACCAAUUGCGAAGGCAGCUAACUGGGCCUUGAUUGACGCUGAGGCACGAAAGCGUGGGUAGCGAACAGGAUUAGAUACCCCUGUAGUC
rnacentral:rRNA from 1 species